AACGCACGAGACCUGCGGACCUGCGGAGGGAUCAUUACCGGGUGAGGGUCUGUAAUGGGCCCAACCUCCCAACCCCACUGUAUACCUUAUGAGUGUUUUACUGUUGCUUCGGUGGGUUUAACAAGUGCCUACCGAAGCCCAAACCAAAAAAAUCUUAGAGAAUGUCGUCAGAGUAAUUUUUUAAAAAAUAAAUUAAAACUUUCAGCAAUGGAUCUCU
rnacentral:misc_RNA from 1 species